GAGCGCGUGAGCGCGCCCGGGCGUCUCCGUAAAGAAGAGAAAGAAAAAAUAAAAGCGCUGAUCUCGGCGUGACAGCUCAGAGCUGUCCACGUCAACACACCGAGCGAGCGGAGCGACGGCAGCAGCAGCAGCAAUGGAUUCCACGUCUCCGGAACCGUCCCUCUACACAGUUAAAGCAGUUUUUAUUCUUGACAAUGAUGGCAACAGACUUUUGUCAAAGUACUAUGACCCAGAGCUUUACCCCUCCAUGAAGGAGCAGAAAACCUUUGAAAAGAAUGUUUUUAACAAGACACACAAAGCAGACAAUGAAAUAGCUUUUCUGGAAGGGAUGACCAUCGUGUACAAGAGCAGUAUAGAUCUUUUCUUCUACGUUGUGGGAAGUGCUCAGGAAAAUGAGCUCAUGCUGAUGUCAGUACUUAACUGCCUGUUUGACUCCCUCAGUCACAUCCUCAGGAAAAAUGUGGAGCGGAGGUGUUUAUUGGAAAACAUGGAAGGAGUGUUUCUUGUUGUGGAUGAAAUCAUUGAUGGGGGGGUGAUUCUGGAGAGUGAUCCACAGCAGGUCCUACAGAAGGUCAAUUACAGGCUAAUGUCAGAGCCAGCCUAUGGCUUCGUCCUCUUUGAUUACAUCACCGGUAACGUAGAGGCACAAACAGACAGGAGCCAGCUGCUGUAGACAGACAGACAGACCGAGGGCGGAUGAGAACCCAUUAACUGAACAAAGCGUGGCUCAGGUUUUGCAGUCAGCCAAGGAGCAGAUCAAAUGGUCUAUACUGAAAUGACUGAAAACAAAUCUGAUUCUCCAAAAAGAAUGUUUUCAGUCCCAAAGCUAUUUUUACAAGGCCAAACUGAAGGGAUGGAUGUUACUGAAGUGAUGGCCAAUAGGCUGCCUUAGGUGUGUUUUUGUGACGACAUUUUUUUUCUAUUGUGUUUGACAAGUAUUUAAUUCAUUUGGCAGUAAACAUAGCCCAUAUAUACGUAGAAGUGUCCUUUACCAAGCCAAAUGACAUUUCUUGUUUUGUUAUCAUAAGUAAUAUCCAGGCAGCUAUCCAGUACCUGAAUUAUUAAAAGACGUGCAAGAAAUUGGUGGAACAACAUUGUCCGUUCUCAGUCCCACAGAACUGAUUGUGGCUCUUGGGUUUCUUUGAGGAGUUGUGCUUUUUUUUCCCCCCUUUCACUUCGUGUGUGUGUGUGACUGUGUGUAUCAACAAUAUUACAAAGCCAAAUUAAUUUCUAUUACAACACUACAAGAAUACAGAAGGUAAUACUAAAAGUUUGUUGUAUUGAUUUUCAGCUGACUCGUUACACUCAUAAUGCUUCUUUGAAGCCCAAAAGGAAAUACAGUUAUGCUUUAUGACACUAAGAAGGCACUGUGGUACAGCUGCAGGAAAUCUAAUUUAAUGAAAGUCUGCACAUGUGAAUGAAUUUUAGAACCAACAGGAGCUUAAAAAAGAUAAAAGUAAAUAAAGUGCACAGGAUCCUGUGGCCAGAGUUACAAAGAAUAUUGUCUAUUACUGUUGUGAUAAUAAUUAAAGAUUUUAAAAGACGUUACAUGUUUGAUGAAGAGAAAUAUGGCCAAAGAGAAACUAAUUAUUUUUUUACAUAUGAAUGUUGCUUUCUUUGUCUGCAAGAGUGAUAAUAAAACUAUAUUUGUCCUGGUUUCAGAUGGUCUGCUUAGCCACUAUAUAUUCUUGUACUUUUAUUUUUAUUUUCAAUUAGUUCAUCCCUGUGGAUGUCGUAUUUAUUUGCUCUCCGGGCUAAUCAGAGUUUAAAAGUGUCUAACAUAAUGAAUAUUAAUAAGCACUCUAAAGGACUUCAUUUGUGUGGGCUUGGUCUGGAAGAUUAUUUGUAGAAAGCAGGUGACGUCAGUUGGCACGUGGUUAAACUCACCGAGCCAAUGGUUCGUUAUGGGUUUAUUUUCCGAUGAUAUUAUUGGCUGGCUGCCGCACACGCCUGCAACUCAUCGCAGGGCACAAGAAAUCAGACGAAAGCCUUAAAUUCAAGGUACAAAGAAAAAAUUUAUGUUUUUAUGUUAUUAUCAGAAUUAUUUUGGCAGAAAUUGAAUUAUUAUUGAUAUCUUGAAAUAAAACUGAAUAAUACUUUUGAAA